rnacentral:rRNA from 1 species
AGAGUUUGAUUCUGGCUCAGAUUGAACGCUGGCGGCAGGCCUAAUACAUGCAAGUCGAACGGUAACAUAGGAAAAGCUUGCUUUCCUGAUGACGAGUGGCGGACGGGUGAGUAAAGUUGGGAAGCUACCUGAUAGAGGGGGACAACAGUUGGAAACGACUGCUAAUACCGCAUACAGCCUGAGGGUGAAAGCAGCAAUGCGCUAUCAGAUGCGCCCAAAUGGGAUUAGCUAGUAGGUGAGGUAAAGGCUCACCUAGGCGACGAUCUCUAGCUGGUCUGAGAGGAUGAUCAGCCACAUUGGGACUGAGACACGGCCCAGACUCCUACGGGAGGCAGCAGUAGGGAAUAUUGCACAAUGGAGGAAACUCUGAUGCAGCCAUGCCGCGUGUGUGAAGAAGGCCUUCGGGUUGUAAAGCACUUUCGGAGGGGAGGAGAAUGACGUUACCCUCAGAAGAAGCACCGGCUAACUCCGUGCCAGCAGCCGC